UUUAAUCAACAAUUGAGAACCAAAUCUGUACCUUAUGAAUACUUCAGCAAAGGUGAGAUUUCUAAUGUCCCAAGGAUGGUACCUGCACUUGUCAAACAUAAAAGCUCGCUACCUAUUUUAUUUAGACACAAUUAAGGCAAUAAGGCCUACUGGAGUUUCUGCAUACUCAAGGGUUCAUGGGCAUCCUAGGCUCCCAGUAGUGGAAUCAGCAAGGUAUGGCUCAUUCGAACCAUAUGUGGAGAAGUUUAAUUCCUUAUUAGUGAGAGCAGAAGAUAGAAAAUGCAGAAUUAGGAAGUGAGUGACACAAGCAAAUAAUCAGCAAUCACAUACAAACAGUGGUACUCAAGUACACAGUCAAUUACACCCAUAUGGAAGGAAAACAUACCAGCUGAUUAAAGCAUUCAUGUGCAGCUAAUAUCGCUUUAGCCUUCUUGCAAUGUUGUCAUAUGAUUGGUGCCUGCCAGCCUUAGCAAAAGCACGCUUCAUAUUCUCCAUUGUGGACCGUGACAACUCAACUCUCAUGUCAAUCAUCUCAUCAGCACGCUUCGUCACCUCAGUAAACCUGCCAAAAUCAAGCAGCCCUGCUAUUAGCUCUUUGGCAGAGUCCUCAGCUGGGGUAAUGUUGU
rnacentral:lncRNA from 1 species